rnacentral:misc_RNA from 1 species
CUCUUCCUGAUUGUAAACUCCACUAAUAUUCCCAUAUGAUCUUUAGAUUGACAAUAAGGUAACCUCCUCCUCAAUAUAUGUUGCAAACAGUACAAAUAUCGAAUAAGUAUCGGCUUCUGAAGCUUCAAAAGCAACAGUUUGAAGUAUGAGCAGAACCACAAAUUUAGUUAAUUUCAGUAAAUGCCCUUGGAUGGAACAUGUUGCAUAAUGCUUCUACCGCUAAAUCAACCCGCACUUGCUUCUUUCCUUGGAAAC